AUUUAGAACUGAUAUAGGUUCUAAUUACUUUUGGUGAGAAAGUAAUUGUGGUUUUUGCCACAAUUAAAAUGGCAAAACUGUAAUGACUUUUGCACCAACCUCAUAAUAU
rnacentral:miRNA from 1 species